UACAGAGGUCUCAAGCGUUGUUCGGAUUCAUUGGGCGUAAAGGGUGCGUAGGUGGCGCCGUAAGUCGGGUGUGAAAUCUCGGAGCUUAACUCCGAAACUGCAUUCGAUACUGCCGUGCUUGAGGACUGGAGAGGAGACUGGAAUUUACGGUGUAGCGGUGAAAUGCGUAGAUAUCGUAAGGAAGACCAGUGGCGAAGGCGGGUCUCUGGACAGUUCCUGACGCUGAGGCACGAAGGCCAGGGGAGCAAACGGG
rnacentral:rRNA from 1 species